rnacentral:rRNA from 1 species
CGGUGUUCAACUGGCGUGCCCGCGGGACGUCCUGCCGGUGAGCUCAGCCCGCGAGGGCGGCUCAACUUGAAAUCCCAUCGCGGUGCUCUUCAUUGAGUGUCGAGGUGGGCCGGCACGAUUACUUUUGAACAAAUUAGAGUGCUUAAAGCAGGCUAAAAUUUUGCCUGAAUACUGUGUAUAUGGAAUAAUGGAAUAGGACCUCGGUUCUAUUUUGUUGGUUUUCGGGAACCCCGAGGUAAUGAUUAAUAGGAACGGAUGGGGGCAUUCGUAUUGCGACGUUAGAGGUGAAAUUCUUGGAUCGUCGCAAGACGGACUAAAGCGAAAGCAUUUGCCAAAAACGCUUUCAUUGAUCAAGAACGAAAGUUAGAGGUUCGAAGGCGAUCAGAUACCGCCCUAGUUCUAACCAUAAACUAUGCCAGCUAGCGAUCCGCCGACGUCCCUCUGAUGACUCGGCGGGCAGCUUCCGGGAAACCAAAGCUUUUGGGUUCCGGGGGAAGUAUGGUUGCAAAGCUGAAACUUAAAGGAAUUGACGGAAGGGCACCACCAGGAGUGGAGCCUGCGGCUUAAUUUGACUCAACACGGGAAACCUCACCAGGCCCAGACACUGGAAGGAUUGACAGAUUGAGAGCUCUUUCUUGAUUCAGUGGGUGGUGGUGCAUGGCCGUUCUUAGUCGGUGGAGCGAUUUGUCAGGUUAAUUCCGAUAACGGACGAGACUCUGACCUGAUAACUAGACGCACUUGCGGCAUCUCAAAGGUCCGCCGGCGGCUGGCUUUGCGCCCGUCGUCGCGCGCGAUUUUUACUGCCGGCGUACAAUAAAUUCUUCUUAGAGGGACAAGUGG